GACGAACGCUGGCGGCGUGCUUAACACAUGCAAGUCGAACGAAGUGGCGGACGGGUGAGUAACGCGUAAUCAACCUGCCCUUCAGAGGGGGACAACAGUUGGAACCGACUGCUAAUACCGCAUACUGAAGGAGGGGAUUGCGUGUGAUUAGCUAGUUGGAGGGGUAACGGCCCACCAAGGCGAUGAUCAGUAGCCGGUCUGAAGGGAUGAACGGCCACAUUUGGAAUGGGAAAAGGCCCAGAAUCCUAAGGGAGGCAGCAAUGGGGAAAUUUCCGCAAUGGACGAAAGUCUGAAGGAGGAAAGCCGCGUUGGUGAUGAAGGCCUUCGGGUUGGAAAGCUAUGUUAAUCGGGAAGCGGUACCGGAAUAGAAAGCAACGGCUAACUACGUGCCAGCAGCCGCGGUAAUUC
rnacentral:rRNA from 1 species